rnacentral:rRNA from 1 species
AACGUAGGUGGCGAGCGUUAUCCGGAAUUACUGGGCGUAAAGCGUGCGUAGGUGGUUUGUUAAGUCUGAUGUGAAGCCCUGGGCUCAACCUGGGAAUUGCAUUGGAUACUGGCAGGCUAGAGUGCGGUAGAGGAUGGCGGAAUUCCCGGUGUAGCAGUGAAAUGCGUAGAGAUCGGGAGGAACAUCUGUGGCGAAGGCGGCCAUCUGGACCAGCACUGACACUGAGGCACGAAAGCGUGGGGAG